AUACGUAGGGUGCGAGCGUUAAUCGGAAUUACUGGGCGUAAAGCGUGCGCAGGCGGCUCUAUAAGACAGAUGUGAAAUCCCCGGGCUUAACCUGGGAACUGCGUUUGUGACUGUAGGGCUUGAGUGCGGCAGAGGGGGGUGGAAUUCCACGUGUAGCAGUGUAAUGCGUAGAGAUGUGGAGGAACACCGAUGGCGAAGGCAGCCCCCUGGGUCGACACUGACGCUCAUGCACGAAAGCGUGGGGAGC
rnacentral:rRNA from 1 species